UACUGAUGCUUCAGAGCACAUUGAAAUAGGGACUGGUCAGACACUCCCCGCAGAAAAAUGGCACUAGCUUCGAAUUUCCAAAUCAGUUGUGAAAUAUUGUCUAUCAAAAAUAAUCUUUACGUCUUCCCAAACAGGUUUAAAACUGAUUUUUUUUAAGAGUUAAGUUUUUCAGGUUGGCGGCACUGGUUUGUAAUGGCGUCCAAACGUCAUCUGUCAAAGUGAAAAGUUUUCAGUAUACUCUGCCAUUUCAUCAUGGAAAGACUUACAAACGAGCAGCGAUUGCAAAUUGUUGAAAUUUAUUAUCAAAAUUCGUGCUCUGUGAAAAAUGUGCAAAUAACUCGAAAUUAUCUUUCAUCAUGUUCCUUGCAAUAAAGACUUAGUUCAGUUACGAUUCUAUUACAUCAUUUUUAUCAUUGAAAAUUACAAUGGAAACUUGAAGCUAAUGUCUCAGAACUUUCCCGAAAGUUUUGAAGGCAGCUCCAGGUAGAUAAAGGUAUCUAAGAAGAUUACUAAAUUAGAUACGAAAAUGCCAGUAACGACAGUAUUCAAAGCAAGUCGAUCUUAUGAGAGGUGCGUUCGAAUUCACCGUAAAACAAAUUCUAGAAUUUUGUUCUUUAGUCGAAAAUGGCGCAACCCGCAUCAGACCCGCUAAAUUCGGUGCUAAUAAAUAUAUUAAGCAGAAGUCCUUUAUCGAAUAGAAAAUGCAAGGAAAUCCCGGAUACAUCACGCUCGCUUGAGCUUAAAUAAGAUGUUCUAGCGAGCUGGCGAAGACCUUUUU